UCUCUCUCCUCCUUCCUCCACAUCAUCGUUUUAGCAUUGGCAAAAUUAGACACGUGGCAGGUGAUUUUUUUUUGGUUUACGCUUGCUCUUUUUACGUUUUGAGUGUUGGGCCUCUUAUUUUGUCUUUUGUUAUUAUAGUUUUCUGGAGUUUGGACUUUUACAAGACGUUUUUGUUCAGACCAAUCACGUGUAGGGCGUUUCAUCAGCUUCUUAGCUUUAACAUUCCUAGCUCAGCAUCCUUGCGAAGCCGUCGAUCAACUCACUAUAACGUUUCUCAUUUGCAUUAAAACUUACUUUAAUCCGAGUUUUAACGUGAUUACCCCCACCUCCUACUCUCAAAACAUUCAAUUGGACUCAUCGUCUCCCAACUAAACCGACGGAGGCUCCGACUAUAAAUCUCCUAGCGAUGACAGCACAACUUCACCAAAUCGAGAAGAAAAUUCUCUGCUAAUUACCCACUCCGAGAAUGGCUAAUUCCUUCAACAUUCUUGCGGAUUUGAAAAACAGGGACCAGUCUCCAAGGAAGAUGACAGGCGUAAGAGUAUGUGAUCAGUGAUGCUACUGCGAUUGUCCAGACAAGUUUAUAGCAUCGUAUAAUAUCGUGGACCGUACUGUAUACCAGGCUCCACAGCGUUGUAGUGUCUUUGCAGCUCGAGUUGUUGGCUGUUUAUAAUAUUUAGAAGGCUUUCUCUGCAGCUGCAUUAAAGUAGGAGACCAUUAGCCAGGUUGAUGCCAAAAACCAGAAUGAGCCUUCUGAGACAAAGCCCCCAAUAAUACACAAUCUUUCACACCACUUCUCUUUCGAUUCAUCAAAAGAUGUCUUCAUAGAAAACAUGAAGCAACACACCUUAUAUAAGAAAAAAACGGAAUUGAACAGUAUAUAUGUCGAAUAAGUCAAGAGUUCUUUGAGCAACGCGUUUCUUCAGGCCGAUCUUGCUUUAGCAAAGGACUGCAACAGAGGCUCUUUUCUCAGGUUUUUCUUCUGGUACCUGGUACCUCAGCUCUUGCUGCCCUUAUUUUUGGAAGACACUCAAUGGUUGCAAAUGCAGGAGAUGGCAGAGCUGUUCUCUGUAGGAAUGGUGAAGCCAUAGACAUGUCUCAAGACCACAAACCAAUCUACUUACCGUAAAGAAGAAAGUCAAAGGAAGUGGCGGCUUUGACGAUGCCAGUUACUUAAAUGGCAUAGCGAUUAUGACAUGAAACUAUCACGAGGGUCAUGAUAUCCACUCAUAGAAGAGCCAGGAGAUUAAAAAGAUACAUUUAACAGAGGAAGACAAGUUUCUGAUAAUGGGAUGCGAAAAUUCAAAAGGUUUUUGUAUCUUUAGGUGUGAAUUACGUUGUCACCAUGACCCGAUAAAGCUUGCUUUGAGGUCUUUAAGGCUAGAUAAGUUUGCUAACCUAACAGUGGUUGUUUAAUUCUUGUCGGCUGAUGACAUGGCGAUGGUCGCUCCUCUGGUGGAGGAUCAAGUUUGACAGAGAUUGAGGGCCUUAUUUGACGGUUGAAUGAAAAGAUAGUAACAUUCCCUUUUGUGUUCUUGGCUGAGCUUUUUCUUUCUGUUGUAUAUUUGGUGUCUGUAUGUAACUUCCAGUGUUUAUGUGCCCCAGUUUUGUGUAAGCGGUUAUGUGUUCAUGAAUGGAUUGAAAGUUUUUAUAUGUACAUGCUUCAUUUAGCUUA